UGCUGUAGGACCCUACAUAUUAAAUAGAUUUUCAUGAUCUAACAUGUUUGUAUCACUUUUUUAAAGUGAAUAUACACAAAGGUUCUGUUACAGACCUUUUUUUUAGAGUGAAUAUACACAAAGGUUCUGCUACAGAACCCUUUUUAAAAGGGAAUAUACACAAAGGUUCUGCUACAGAACCCUUUUUGAAAGCGAAUAUACACAAAGGUUCUGCUACAGAACUCUUGUUAAUACGUGAAGAUUUAAAGGGUUCCUAGGCUAAGGGUUCCAAGAGGAACAUGACCUCUUGUCCCACGAUUAAGUAAUGAGAAAUAAAAUAAAAAUCUCCAAACAUAAUCAACCCACUAUAUUUAUGAUUCACAGGAUUGAAAAUGCAUAAAUCAAUAAAGGUCGCUAAUAUAAACUUGUAAGUUUCGCAUCGGAAAUUUAGCUUUUGUGAUGAUAUUUCAAUCAAAUGAUCUGUAAUGUAUCACUUUUUUCCCAAUGAACACAAAUACUCAAUCCAUCAAAACUAUGCUCAGUCAUUUUGAACAACCAAAUUGUAAACUUGGUGGAUUUGACUUCUUAUAGGCAGAGGUUCAGCAUAUGAACUCCAAUGUUAGUACCACUUUUUUUCCAAUUCCACACAAAUACUCAUCCCACCAUAGGUAUGCUCAGUCAUUUCAAACAACCAAAUUGUAAUCUUGUUGGAUUUGACUUCCUAUAUCCAGAGGUUCAGCAUAUGAUCCUUUAUAUAGUUCUUCUGAAUUUUAGAAUUGUAAUAACACUUCAAAUCGAACACCUUCUACAUUACAACAUUCUUUUUCAUAUCAACACCAAAACUUGUUGGAUUUGACUUGCAAUAGACAAAGGUUCAGACUAUGAACUUUACUGUUUGUGCUACUUUUCCCCACUUCACACAAAUACUCUUUCCACCAUAACUAUGCUCAGUCAUUUUAAACAACCAAAUUGUAAUCUUGUUGAAUUUGACUUCCCAUAAACAGAGGUUCUGCAUAUGAACCUUUAUGUAGCGAUUCAGUUAAGGUGGAAUUUUAUGUACCGCUUUAUGUGCCGCUUCAGUAAUGGAGGAAUUUUAGAUUUGUAAUAACAUUUCAAUUCGAACGCCCUCUAUUGUAUAGCAUUCUUUUUCAUAUCAACACCAAUAUUCAUUCCACCAUAACUGUUUUUAAUCACCUCCGACAAAACACUUGUAAACAUGGUGGAUACGACUUCCUCCAGACAGAGGUUCAACAUGUGAACCUCAAUAUCCCCUUUCGUAACUUUAGCUUUGUGAUAAGACUUUCAAUCAAACAACCUCCUCCAUACAGUGUUUUUUUU
rnacentral:lncRNA from 1 species